AAACCAGCACCUCAAGUGGUCAGGAUGAUUAUUGGGCCUAAAGCAUCCGUAGCCGGCUCUGUAAGUUUUCGGUUAAAUCUGUACGCUUAACGUACAGGCUGCUGGGAAUACUGCAGAGCUAGGGAGUGGGAGAGGUAGACGGUACUCGGGAGGAAGUGGUAAAAUGCUUUGAUCUCUCGAUGACCACCUGUGGCGAAGGCGGUCUACCAGAACACGUCCGACGGUGAGGGAUGAAAGCUGGGGGAGCAAACCGGAUUAGAAACCCCUGUAGUCC
rnacentral:rRNA from 1 species